rnacentral:lncRNA from 1 species
GAAGUUGUGGUGUUCAAUUUAUUUAUAGAAUAGUUCUACAUAAAUCAUUGUUGGAUACAUAGCUACUUAAUUACAGCUGUUUUUAGUGUGUAGAUGGAUAGGUAAAGAGAACACUAUGGAUUAAAGAUGGUUUACAAUUGGAGGGACCAUGAGUUAACUUCACACCUUGUUCCUUCGUCACUCUAACAAGGGUUGGACACACCGAGAGACAGAGAGAGAAAUACUAAAGAGAAAUAGCAGUAUCAGCACUUUUUUUCAGGCGAGAAAUACAUUACUGAUGAUGUCAGAGGGCGUCACAAAGUUAUUACUUCAACCGUACAUAGCUUGAUGAAAAUGAAAACACCAAGUAUUCGUCACAGAGAGAUAGAGAGACAUUUCCAUAAACGCUUGACUCAAUUCCUCCAGUCACAGCUCUUCAGUUAAUCCCAGGUGGAGAAAUAGAUGUACAGGGAACAACACUCUUAUACAGUAGUUAUGGCAACGGACAUCUGCUUCAGACAUUAAAAUAUUGCAUUUCAUAGGAAAUAUUUACUGGAAGAAGAGAUCCAGAAGCUAUUGAAAAGUGUUGGUGUGUAUAGUAGUGUAGAAACCUUACUGCAUGGAUAGCAUAAUAUGUAUUGUUUUUUCCCUCCUUUGCACAAUGUAUCUGAUAUCGUUUGUUUCAUCAGGUGGAGAUCCAACUCUGAUCAAUACCAAUAAUUGUAUCCCCAUGGUUGGGUUACCUCAGUGAUGCAUUGCCAGAACUAUGAAAACGUUGUACUUCCUCUAUUAUGUAUUUCUACAACCCGAAAUACAAUGCAUUGUGUAAAUGAAAAACACAACACUGUAAUACAUUUAUCUCCCACCAACAUUUAUCUGAAGUGUGAUUCGUCAUAUUGUUCAUGGGAAAUUGUGAGUCCUGUCACAUCUCUCUUAGUCGGACUGUAACAUCCUCCUCUACCCUCCAGCUACUGCCUCCCCUCUAGAGGUUGGCCCAUCCCUAAUGGGGUGGCACCUAGACUGGCAGAGCAGGUCCCCCAGCAGAUGUACACCUAUCGGGAGUGGCUGGACAGACUGACUGGGGCGGUCUGCUACUCUGCUUUUUUGGAGAAUAAAGCAAUGCUGGAAUCAGUGAGGCUGUGCCAUGGUGUUUGAAUGAGAUGAGAUGCUGUCUGUGUCUGGACAUGUCCUGAUGCUCACAACCUCUCUGACAUGUUUAGUCGGGCUUCAAAGCAGCGAGCACUGUGCCGUGCGUGCUGAGGGCUUUGUAGGGUCUCCUUGAUAGGCUCCUCUGUGGAUGAAAGCCCUGCUGCUGGGCGGGGGGGCGGCUGUUUUGUUUGUUCUGUGACUGGACCGCGUGAACGUUGAGUGAAAUGUGAAGCUUCGCUAAGUUCUCUCUGCCUAUAGAAAUCGAUCAAACGCUCGUCAGCGCGUGUCUGAUCAGUACAAAGGUUAGGACUAGAAAGGACAGUGUGGAUGAGACUGUUUCUGGUCAGAAGACCCAUGUACGUACUAAUAACACACACACAAAUAUAUACACACACACACAAAUAUAUACACACACACACACACACAAAUACACACACACACACACACACACACGAACACACACACACACACACACACACACACACACUGUGAUCUAGAUUCCAGAGAAGUACCAUAUCCCAGGGAAUAUGAACUCACUCACACUAUAUGCCCUGAACUUUAAAACACUAUAUAGCCUUAAACUGUAUAUCAGCCUUUGCCCACAUCCUUUCCCCACAGAACUAACCGGAAUACUAUAGCGAAGAAAAUGCAUGGACGUGUAUGAGAAGGAAGUAAAGUUAGAGUACAUAAAAGAGAGAGUUAGGUUUUGAAAUGUCAUGCAUGCACUGAGGCUAAUGACGUCUGAUCUGAGUCAAAGCCUGCCUCUCUCUCUCUCUCUCUCUCUCUCUCUCUCGCUCUCCCUCCCUCUCCCUCCCUUCUGUUCCUGGCAGCUCUUCUUCUAAUCAGGCCUGUCUGCCUGGUGUCAGUGCAGGUGCCUGCCUCUGAGGAGGACCACCCUCUAUCUCCUCAGCACAGCUGCUAACAGAAACUUAGGAAGUAGCAGGUUAUUUACCGCUAUUUUACUUCCUCCUUAUGGUAAAGAAUUCUGGAACAUUACAGAUGUCUGCCACUCCCUCAAUCCUACACACUUGAACAAAAUGCUCUCAAUUUCAUCAGGUUCUAAUCAUCGACAAACAGUGAGCGUGGUAUGAAAUAUGAACUUUUUUUAUAUGCCUUUGGCUUAAUUGUGGUAUUUUGCAGCAGUACGAAAAUAUAUGCACUCACUACUGUAAGUCACUCUGGUUAAGAGCGCCUGCUAAAUGACAACAACCUGGUGGAGGGUUUUACGGACGGGUAGAGAGAAACCAUAUCUAUCUUGCGUUCGGUUUGUUUACAUCUACAGGCCUCACUAGGAGUGAGAUGAGGAAGUUUAACGAACCUCCCAGUGCUAUGAGCUCAAAGCAGGAAGAAGCUCAGUGCUGCAGGUUGAGAGAAAAGGUCAGACACUCUGUCCUUCCUAGAAUCCCUAGCCAUAUUCUUUCCCAAUACAGUCUACAAUAGCAAGUCUAGUCUACAACAGCAAGAGACUACCCACUGGGCACACACACUGGUUAAAUUAGCAUGUUUCCACGUUGCACCAACUUGGAAUAGACAUUGAAUUGAUGUCUGUGUCAAGUGGGUACAGGCACCAUGACCUGAGGUAAUGAGAGAAACAGUGACUUAGUUCUCAAAACAAACUAGAAUAUUUAGCGAUAGCACCACUCUGCAGGGUGAGGCGGGGGUUAGUUUAGUCCUUGAUCCUGUUGUUACAGACCAUGAAUUGACACAUUAAUCAGAGAUGGUUCUAUUCUUGAAACAGCCAGACGUGUCUCUCGCAGUAGGUAUUGCAUUUAGAAGUAAACUUCAGGGCAGCGCUCAGCGCCAUGCCAACUGUUAAGCAAACCAAUUAAAGGUGAAGACCAUUUAAAUAGAAAUGCUCCGGGUUGUAAUCAUGGUGAAAACAUAAAGGUCCUCUGCAAGCUGACUAAACAGAGAAAGAGGACUGAAUAAUAGAUUGGCGACACAGUAAAACAGGUUUUAAGAUUUUUCACUGCUUCUCUCUUUGCUCAUUGUUCUGUGGUGUACAUCCUCUCUCUGUGGUGUACAUCCUCACUCUGUGGUGUACAUCCUCUCUCUGUGAUCUACAUCCUCUCUCUGUGAUGUACAUCCUCUCUCUGUGGUGUACAUCCUCUCUCUGUGAUGUACAUCCUCUCUCUGUGAUCUACAUCCUCUCUCUGUGAUCUACAUCCUCUCUCUGUGGUGUACAUCCUCACUCUGUGGUGUACAUCCUCUCUCUGUGGUGUACAUCCUCACUCUGUGGUGUACAUCCUCUCUCUGUGAUGUACAUCCUCUCUCUGUGAUCUACAUCCUCUCUCUGUGGUGUACAUCCUCUCUCUCUGGUGUACAUCCUCUCUCUGUGAUGUACAUCCUCUCUCUCUGGUGUACAUCCUCUCUCUGUGAUGUACAUCCUCUCUCUGUGAUCUACAUCCUCUCUCUGUGAUGUACAUCCUCUCUCUGUGAUGUACAUCCUCUCUCUGUGAUCUACAUCCUCUCUCUGUGGUGUACAUCCUCUCUCUGUGGUGUACAUCCUCUCUCUGUGAUGUACAUCCUCUCUCUGUGGUGUACAUCCUCUCUCUGUGAUCUACAUCCUCUCUCUGUGGUGUACAUCCUCUCUCUGUGGUGUACAUCCUCUCUCUGUGAUGUACAUCCUCUCUCUGUGGUGUACAUCCCCUCUCUGUGUUGUACAUCCUCUCUCAGUGGUGUGCAUCCUCUCUCUGUGGUGUACAUCCUCUCUCUGUGGUGUGCAUCCUCUCUCUGUGGUGUACAUCCUCUCUCUGUGGUGUGCAUCCUCUCUCUGUGGUGUACAUCCUCUCUCUGUGAUGUACAUCCUCUCUCUCUGGUGUACAUCCUCUCUCUGUGAUGUACAUCCUCUCUCUGUGAUCUACAUCCUCUCUCUGUGAUGUACAUCCUCUCUCUGUGAUGUACAUCCUCUCUCUGUGAUCUACAUCCUCUCUCUGUGGUGUACAUCCUCUCUCUGUGGUGUACAUCCUCUCUCUGUGAUGUACAUCCUCUCUCUGUGGUGUACAUCCUCUCUCUGUGAUCUACAUCCUCUCUCUGUGAUCUACAUCCUCUCUCUGUGGUGUACAUCCUCUCUCUGUGAUGUACAUCCUCUCUCUGUGGUGUACAUCCCCUCUCUGUGUUGUACAUCCUCUCUCAGUGGUGUGCAUCCUCUCUCUGUGGUGUACAUCCUCUCUCUGUGGUGUGCAUCCUCUCUCUGUGGUGUACAUCCUCUCUCUGUGGUGUGCAUCCUCUCUCUGUGGUGUACAUCCUCUCUCUGUGAUGUACAUCCUCGCUCUGUGAUCUACAUCCUCUCUCUGUGGUGUACAUCCUCUCUCUGUGGUGUACAUCCUCUCUCUGUGAUGUACAUCCUCUCUCUGUGAUGUACAUCCUCUCUCAGUGCUGGAAAAACAGAUAAACUACUGGUCCUGUAAUCAACGGAGAGAGAGAAAUCCCCAAAUAGUCAGGUCCCUAAACACAGCUAUCGGCACUGGCCCUCUGGCCUACCCCUUCCCACUGUAGCAGCCAGCCAGGCAAAGCCAGGGGCAGGGGCAGAGGAGGUAGGUGUUUGUUCAUCGCAUCCGUUCCAGCAUUCCCACAUCCCCUCCCACUCAGUGAGCACAAACAACCCCUCAGAUCUCCUAAAGAGAGGCGCACACACACACACACAGAACACGGGGGAUACGAGGCGAGGAGGUGGGUGUGAGGGUGGGCAGUGCAGUCAGAGCCCUGGAUUGGAGGGCUGGAGAUGCUUUUUGCAUUCCAAUGAGACUCCGAAAACUCAGCACCAAGGUUAAUCUAGAUGUCAAAGUCUGCUGACAGCGCAGGAGAUUGCUCCUGGGUGACAUCCCAUCUGAAGUCUUAACGCUGCAGUCAAUUUCAUCCCUCCCUCCAGGAAAUGGAGUCAGGUUUGCCGUUUUUGUGAGAGUAUGCAAGACUGUACAUGGCAGGAUUUUCUCAUUUUCUCUUCAUUUUACACUCCUCUUUUAUGUUUCUGAGAGGAUAUAUUCUGUUUUCUCAUGUUUUGUCAUGAUAUAAUGCAUGUGGUAUUAGUGCUGUGUCUGCAUGCAUCUGGGACAACAGUCUGAUCAACUGUGGCUCGUUCUUUCAAUCAGUCUAGGCCAACAAAACCAUGCGACACUAAGUCAAGACAAAAAUGUGUGAAACUGCUUUUGAAACAACUGUCAUAGUUAUCUGUCAUAGGAAUAACAUCUGGCGGAAGAUGGCAUCACAAAAUCUACUUUUGACUGUUCUUCAAAACCCCUCUUCUGAACCUGUAUGGUUGUACUCGUCUCCAAGAUAAGAGGGAUAACUGCCGGUUUAUAGUCUCAUAACUAAAGGAGCGUUUCUAAAAUCAGAUAAGGACAUUUUAAUUAAAUGCUUUGAAGGUAGGUCAAAAAUAAUUUAUCAUGCAGGGAAGGAGAGAGGGGAUAACUACCUGUUGUUGCUAGGAUGGCUGUUCUGCAACGCCAGCGCUGAUGCAAACGGACUCCAUCAAGUACAUUAGAUAUUCCUCCUAUCCAUAAUUCAGUAACAUUACCCUCCCAAACAUGACGAAAGUAACACAAAAAUUUGGUAAGCUGGAAACAAAAAAGGAUCUUAGACUAUGUUUUUGGUGUAAACUUGACGUUCCUGCUGUGUGUGUGGGGACAGGCGGAGAUAGCAGAGGAGUGCUGCUGUAGCAGGCUAGCUCCACGGAGCCCUGGGUUAUGAAGUGCUCAAAGAGAGCUCAUUUCAACUGCAAUGUUCCGCUUUCCUGCCUCCCUCCUCACUCCUCCCCAUCAUGAUUAAGGUCUUAAACCCCUCAUCAAUCGUCGGCCUCUUCACUGCAGCAGCCAUAACACGACACCGGCAGCCAGCUCUGUUCUCCUCUCUGGCCAAUAGACAGCGCUAUAUUACUGGGCUGAAACAUGCUAAGCAUACGACCUUCACUGCAUUAUCCCAGCUCUGCUCUGCCUCCUCAACUGACCUCAAGCGAUUACCCCCCAGCCAGGCCAUCGUAUUUAAAGGAUAUCUAAAAGCUGGAGCCAAAACCUCCUUUCAUUGGUAAUUUUCCCCCAUUUCUGCAAGGUCAACUCAUUAGAGUCGCAACCUUAGGCGCUUGUCCACUGUCACCCCUUACCGGUCACAGUUACUUUACUUAGUUACCUCUCUGCUUAGUCAUACGCUGAGGUCAUCUCCGGUAUUCUUAGAAUCAACUAAUUCAUCUAUUUUCUCUCUGAUGGAUAAAUAAGACAUUGACUUCACAUAAAGACAUGUCGCCCUCCACUUCUCUCUCCC